UACGGAGGGGGUUAGCGUUGUUCGGAAUUACUGGGCGUAAAGCGCGCGUAGGCGGAUCAAUAAGUCAGAGGUGAAAUCCCGGGGCUCAACCCCGGAACUGCCUUUGAUGCUGUUGGUCUUGAGUUCGAGAGAGGUGAGUGGAAUUCCGAGUGUAGAGGUGAAAUUCGUAGAUAUUCGGAGGAACACCAGUGGCGAAGGCGGCUCACUGGCUCGAUACUGACGCUGAGGUGCGAAAGUGUGGGGAGCGAACAGG
rnacentral:rRNA from 1 species